rnacentral:rRNA from 1 species
AGGUGNNNCAUGAUUGUCGUCAGCUUGCGUCGUGAGAUGUUGGGUUAAGUCCCGCAACGAGCGCAACCCUUGAUCUUAGUUGCCAGCAUUCAGUUGGGCACUCUAAGGUGACUGCCGGUGACAAACCGGAGGAAGGUGGGGAUGACGUCAAAUCAUCAUGCCCCUUAUGACCUGGGCUACACACGUGCUACAAUGGGCAGAACAAAGGGCAGCGAAGCCGCGAGGCUAAGCCAAUCCCACAAAUCUGUUCUCAGUUCGGAUCGCAGUCUGCAACUCGACUGCGUGAAGCUGGAAUCGCUAGUAAUCGCGGAUCAGCAUGCCGCGGUGAAUACGUUCCCGGGCCUUGUACACACCGCCCGUCACACCACGAGAGUUUGUAACACCUCGAAGUCGGGUUGAGGUAACUUU